UACCGGCGGCUCGAGUGGUGGCCACUUUUAUUGGGCUUAAAGCGUUCGUAGCUGGGUUAUUAAGUCUCUUGGGAAAUCCGACGGCUCAACCGUCGGGCGUCUAAGGGAUACUGGUAAUCUUGGAACCGGGAGAGGUGAGGGGUACUUCGGGGGUAGGAGUGAAAUCCUGUAAUCCUCGAGGGACCACCUGUGGCGAAGGCGCCUCACCAGAACGGCUUCGACAGUGAGGGACGAAAGCUGGGGGAGCAAA
rnacentral:rRNA from 1 species